GCGGUCAUCGAUCUCCACGGAAGAAAUCGAGCCCCAGCCCCGCGUUCUUAUCCGGUCUCCGACCGGUCUCCACGGAAGAAAUCGAGCGCCGCUCCUCUCCUGCCGGCCCACCGCCACCGCACUGCCCCGUCGCCCCUCCUCCGAGCCGCUGCCCCUAUCGCGCCUCGCCGGCUGCCUCCCCUCUUCCCGCGCCAGCCCCAGCCUCCGCUCCUCAUCCCACCUCCUCUCGCCCCCGCGCAUCGCCGUCUCCUCGCGCCCCACCCUGGCGGCCCACCGCCCCUGCCCAGCCCCGUCGCCCCUCAUCCGAGGUCGCCGAGGUCACCAAGAAGUGCCGGACUGUGACCUCCCUUCUCGAGCUCGCCGGAGCGGUGCCGGCAGUCGAUAAGGGCACUGUUGAACAGAUCUGAGCACGGGAGGAGCGAGAGGACGCGGCGGACCAGCACUCCACAACGCGGCGUCCAGUGCUGGGCGGUGCCCACUGGUGAGGACCCAACACCGUCGUCCAAAACCACUGCAACCGCCCAGGAACCAGCGGAGUCCACUCUGCCUAGGAACCAACGGCAGGCCGAGGCCGUGCGGGCGCUCAAGGCCGGCAGUGGCGCUUCCAAGGCCGACGUGGACAUGGUCGUUGAGGCCCUCAACGUGCUCAAGGUCGAGGUCGGUGCCACCACGCGCCUGCUCAGCAGUCCGUCCGCUUUGGCGGACUAUUAACGCGGAAGGAAUCCGCUACGGCGACCAUGCUGUCACCCUCGCCCCCUCCGCUCCAGUGACCCAGCCAUCACGUUUGGCGCCGUCGGCUCCACUUGUCGUCCCAGCCAUCACGUCCGACUACGUCGGCUCCACUCGCCGCCGCGAGAUCUGGCUCCUUCGCCGCCACCGCAGCCUUUAGCGCCACCGACCCGGACCCUGCCGAUGAGUUGCUACGCCAACUGCAUGUGCGGUUUGAGGGGAAGCCGCGCGUCGCACCACCAGAGAGACCGUGCGCGUCGUCGCUGACGGCCGCGACUGCUGAGGAGGUCACCGAGCUGGUACAGCUGUAGCACCCAGCGAGCGCGGUGGACAGGUUCGUCGCCUGACCAAUUCCCCAUCGUGCGCUGAAACUCCUGUUGCCCACCGCUGGCCAAGCCGCGGCCCAGGUUGCCACCGGCGAGCUCUCAAAUGCCGGCCGUCGUCGCCCUCUCUCUCUCUCUCUCGAUUUGGAUUGGUCAGCGCAUGGAGGGUGUUACAGCCCAGACACGAUGAACACUCGAGCGAAGCAUAGCAUCUCCAGUCUUCCUUCCCAUUCCCAGCCAGCCAGCUCGCUCCCUCUCCUCUCUCCUUUCCUUCCGAAGAGAAGAGAAAUGAAAGGGGGCUGCUUUGGGCAAGGAGAGUAGGCAGUCACGCCAGAUCUGGGCCGAGGAGGGGGAGGCAGGCGCUGGCAGCAAGAGGAGAUGCCGGAAGAGAGAGGGUAAGAUGAAGUCGUCGCUGCGGAGCCGCCGCGGGUGAGCGACGGCGUCAUCAUCGACGCCAUGCUACUCUCCCUCUGUGUCCUCAGCAUUGUCAAGGCUAGAUACUGCGCCACCCCCUUCGGCAAGGCUGAGGACCAACUCCAGGAACGGAUGAACUCCAGCAUCAGGAUGGAGACGGAGUCCCCGGCCAGGAUGCCAAGAGCUAGGAAGAUAAUACGAACAACCCUGAAGAUAAGUUGUGCCCUUUCCAGCUUAGUUGGUGUUUCAAGGUAAGCAUUCAGAUAACUCAAGGUAAAAACUUCCUUCGGACUGACGUUCAUAUUUUGUUCCUAUUCAUUAUAUUUUUUAUCUAGAUUUUUUGCAAAAUUUGUAUCAAAGGGAUACUGGUCAACACCGUUAUUCCAGGGCUCUAAUGAUAGAACCCUACCAUUUAGCUUUCUUUGAGAUCGACACCAUACAUGAUUCUGUGACUAAGAAUAUUAAAGGCAUGAAUAUAGUUGCAAGAGAUGCACAUGUAUUUAUCAACUAUAUUUCUAAUUUUCAUACAUGAAUAGCUAAAACACACUUAACGAUCUGAUUUGAUUUAUUACUAUGUAUUAUCACUGAUGUUUCCAUGGCAUUUACCCAAGUUUACCAAGUAUUUCCAUUAAAUUUAGGUUCUCGAAGAUUUUUUUUAUGCAAGCAUUAUCUAAGUUAUCCAAUUUGCUUCGGCCCAUUGCUGGAUGUCAAGAAAAUAAGUUGUGGCUUGAUACCAUGGUACUUAACAUGCACUUGAUGCAAAAGAAAAUCAUAUCCUCUUGGAGAUGCCUGUUCUAGAUGUCCUGCGAAAUCUGUUGAACCUAGGUACCCUUUGCCUGUUGUAUGGGUUGAUCCUUUAGAAUAUGGAAGAGAUGAUGCUACUACUGUUCAGUUUGUGUUCUUUGGGAAUUUUGGCCAGCACCUGGAACCGAUACAGCUUCUGAUGCUUGUGGAUACAAUCGGAGUUUCAUCUGGGUUUAUAUCGCCAGAAAUAACAAGGUUCUAUGGCCAUAAAUAUACUUAAAGGGCUGGUGUUUCAUAUGGUUCUCUGUAGAGGGACAUCAUAUCUUUUUAGAUUAAUUCUAUCAUAGCCAUGGAAGUCCCAGUCCAUGUUUUUCUGGCAUAGUGCACUUACUUAUUUCUGAAUUUAGUUUCACAGUAUUGCUAGCGCAAACAGAUUCUGCAUUCUCCUCCGUAUGAAUGUUGCCAUCUCGCUUUGAUAUAUAAAAAAACUCUUUCAGUGUAUGGUUCAUGCUUCUCGAGAUUAAUGUGAGAUGAACUUUAAUAGGGUUAACACUUGAGCUAGCGUCACUGACCCAUCCUGCAAUUGCAAAGGCUGCUCCGCCGUUGGCACAACUUGCACUGAUGGAUUAUCCUUUUCCUUGGUAUUUCUUUGCUAUAAAAUUGCCAAGCGUUAGCUACAUAGUUAUUUCUCAUUUACUUAAUUUGUUUUCCUACGAUGUUUGACCGCCUUGGUAGCCUAUUUUUGCUUUGCCCUUUCCGGAUCCCAUCUCGAUGUUAGGUUAUGCGCCCAAUUACUGUGCUUGCACUGCUCCAUAUCAGUUUCCAAAUGUUUUCCAGUGUGCAUGUUCAAAGUUCAAACUGAUGUCGAGGAACUCAGGGAAAUGACCAAGAGAACCGAUUGUGCUACUGUUCCCUGGUGUGACAAUCAAGAACUUUGAAGGUCCAUCCAUCGGGAGCCUGGAAUUCGGAAUAUAUUGUUGAGGCUUACAGUGAUAUUAGACAUAUCACUAUGCAUUGAAUGUGUCGAGGAGAUCAGAUGAUGUGGUUAUGACAAGGCUCACUUAGCAAGGAAGUGCAACCUGUACAUCGUACCCGAAUGCGCCUAUUCCAGAGGUCUGCUCUACAAAACAAGUGCAUGUCCUAUUGCCGUCGUUCGAUUGGUAUGUGCAAUGCAUUUUCAGAUCUAUGAUGUAUAAACUUAAUUAAAUCUAUGACAUAUAAGCUCAAUAUGACCUGGUCGUUUCUUAUUGGUUCCA